rnacentral:lncRNA from 1 species
UCCUGGGUCUUUCUUCGUACUUUAAUUUAGUGAAAGUUGUAAUAACAACCGGAUAGAUAGAGACUGAUAUCACUACAAGAAUAAUGCCUAGUCUCCGACAGCCAUAGUUUCUCCGUAAUGAGUAUCUCCUACUACAUUCCGACAAUCAAAUUUUAGUCGGAGUUUGGGUCUCGGAAAUCUCAGUUUCUCCGAAAUUAGUCGGAACUCUGUAUCGAAAAUAUACCCGAACAUUCCAAUGAACUUCAGGAAUACAAUCCCACUAAUUUUCCAAUUUUCCAUAUAAACAAAUUAACCAUAAAAAUCCUAUAUAAAUAAAAAAAAGAAAUAAAAAUAAACUAUAUUUACUAUUGGUCGGUGUAAGUUGCAACGGUGGUGAGGGUAUCGGAUGCUAUCUCUUCGACAGCGUAGGUGUAGGGUGGAGUGAGCGGAAACGGCGGGGGAGUAAUUGCAGCGAGGGUUGUGGAAGUGCGGUGGUGGCGGUGCAAGGAGUUGCAAAGUUGGCGAUGAGAGAAGUUGCGAUUGUGACGGUGGCAGUGAAAAGGUUGCGGUAGUGACGGCAGUCGUGCAAAGAGGUGAGUGGUGGUGAUGUUUUGAGCGAUUCACAGAUCUUACUUAGCUAAAAAAAAUACAUAUCUGAAAGAGGCAUAAAGAAAGAGAGAAGGGGAAGAACGAAAGAGGAAAAAGAAAAAGAAAGAAUAAAUGAAGGAUGCAAAAUUAGGAAAUGAGGAGAAGAAAAGGAAAAACAAUGACCUGCUCUUCGAUUCGAAAAAGAUUAGCUCUUUGCAGAGAUAUGUGGAAGAGAAGAUAAGAGGAUUUUUUUUGUUUUGAACACA